CCAUACCAGCCGGGGAGUUAGCGGUGCCCUGCACCUGCAAUCCGCUACAGCAGGGGUGGUUUCCUCUUAUGAGGUAUGAUUUUGUGUGGUCUGCGCCGUAUUUCCCUUGCGAUGAGGGGUGGGUCUUGUGCAAUCAGUGGCUGUGAACCAUGUCAGACGGGGAACCGAGCAGCAUUAAGCAGUUUAACUGAUGUGCCACGAGGUUGCCUGCCCUGAGUAAGACAUACGGUAGCGCAUGGAAGGUCAUAUCGACUUUGGGGUGUAUGG
rnacentral:SRP_RNA from 1 species